rnacentral:rRNA from 1 species
CCUACGGGAGGCAGCAGUGAGGAAUAUUGGUCAAUGGGCUUACGCCUGAACCAGCCAAGUCGCGUGAGGGAAGACUGCCCUAUGGGUUGUAAACCUCUUUUGUCAGGGAGCAAUUGGCGCUACGUGUAGCGUUAUCGAGAGUACCUGAAGAAAAAGCAUCGGCUAACUCCGUGCCAGCAGCCGCGGAAAUACGGAGGAUGCGAGCGUUAUCCGGAUUUAUUGGGUUUAAAGGGUGCGUAGGCGGAAUGCCAAGUCAGCGGUAAAAUCGCGGGGCUCAACCUCGCUCCGCCGUUGAAACUGGCGGUCUUGAGUGGGCGAGAAGUAUGCGGAAUGCGUGGUGUAGCGGUGAAAUGCAUAGAUAUCACGCAGAACUCCGAUUGCGAAGGCAGCAUACCGGCGCCCAACUGACGCUGAAGCACGAAAGCGUGGGUAUCGAACAGGAUUAGAUACCCGAGUAGUC